rnacentral:piRNA from 1 species
UUUUGAUGGGAAUGUCAUGCU